GGCUCCGCGGGACCCACCUGGUGCUCCAGGGCAGGGACGGGCGUCAGGCUGCGCGGCGCUGGCCGACCUGGUUCCUCAGCACCUGCGGGCCGGGGCUGCUGAGCCCUCCCAGAAAGGUCGUUUCCCUCGCAGUUUCCAACAUGGCAGGCAGGUUUUAUACAUGGAUAAGAAGUCCACAGAAUGCAGAGGUUCUGAAGAUGCCAGGACCGGCAGAAAUGGAGGUAAACACAAACAAAAGGAAAAAAAAGCAAAAGCAAAACCACCACCAACCCCGACAUAGAUCAUCAGCAUCUCAUUCUUCAGAUGACUAUGUGUUUCCUUCUCCUACAUCAUCUUCAGGAAGCCAGACGGAUUCAAGUGUCGAAGGUAUCUUCUGAGAUGUCCAUCAUUCAGUCUGGUCCUCAGUCAUUGAUCCACACCAUUUGCGACUGAGAUGUCUUCAUUCCUGUCUGCCUAGUCCUUUCAGGACCUGAAAAAGCUAUUUAAAAAUGUCCACCUUUUCUGGGACUUCCCUGGUGGCACAGAGGUUAAGAAUCCGCCUGCCAAUGCAGGGAACAUGGGUUCGAUCCCUGGUCCGGGAAGAUCCCACAUGCCAUAGAGCAACUAAGCCCGUGCACCACAACUACGGAGCCUACACUCUAGAGCCCGCGAGCCACAACUACUGAGCCCGUGCGCCACAACUACUGAAGCCCACGUGCCUAGAGCCCGUGCUCCACAAUGAGAAGCCAUCACAAUGAGAAGCCCACGCACUGCAACGAAGAGUAGCCCCCGCUUGCUGCAACUAGAGAAAGCCCUCGUGCAGCAACGAAGACCCGACACAGCCAAAAAAAAGAAAAAAAAUGUUUCCCUUUUCUAAUUAUAUGUCUGUGUGAGGCUGGAUUUUCUUCAUAUACUUCAGUUUAGACAACUUAUCACAACAGACUGAAUGCAGAACCUGAUAUAAGGAGUGAUCUGCAUUAGUUUCCCAUUACUGUGUAACAGAUAUCCACAACCACAACAACUUAAAACAAUACGCAUUUAUCAGUUUCCAGGAGUCAGGAGUCUGGGUUCAGGUGAGCUUCUCAGGGUCUUUGCUCAGGGUCUCACAAGGCUAAAAUCAAGACAUUACCCAGAGGUGCAAUCUUACCUGAGGCUCAAGGAUCCUCAAUCAAGUGAGUUGGUUAUUGGCCGAAUGCAGUUGGCAAAAUUUGUAGCACCAAAGUCCCUGGCUCACUGUUGGCCAGGGACUGCUCUCAGCAACCAGAGGCUACCCACAAGUCCUUGGCACGUGACAACAUUGGUCCUUGCCUCUCACAACACUGCAGCUCACUUCUCCAAAGCCAGCAGGAAAAUCUUACUCCAGGGAUUUCCCUGGAGGUCCAGUGGUUAAGACUCCGCACUCCCAACGCAGGAGGCCCGGGUUCUAACCCUGGUCAGGGAACUAGAUCCUACAUUCUGCAACUGCAGAUCCCACAUGCCACAACUAAGACCUGGCACAGCCAAAUAAAUAAAUAAAUAUUUAAAAAAAAAAACUUCAGUCUACUGUGAUGGAGUCUUGUAUAACAUAGUGUAAUCACGGGAGCGACUAUAUCCUCACCUUUGCCAGAUUCUUUUGGCAAGAAGUAAGUAACAAUAAAUGGAGUAUAACCUUUAAAAAUUGUGAAUCACUAGGUUAUACCCCUGAAACUUAAGUCAUAUUGUACAUUGACUAUACCUCCAUAAAAAAAAGAAGCAAGUAACAGUUUCUCCCUCAUUCACUUGACUCAUUGGGGUCACCUUAGGGUGUGUCCAUCAUUCCAGACAUUAAAGAUACAUGCAAAAAUGUAAAACAAUGCCACUCUU